rnacentral:lncRNA from 1 species
AAAUCGUAGAAAACACUCAACAAGUGUAAAAGUAGCAAUAACAAAGAUUAAACAACUUAAAUUUAAAUAUAAAAACACAUUCAAAAGCAUUCUAAAAGUCAAUGAUCAAUUUGGCCCAUGGAGUUCCUUGAAUCCCCUCAUGAGUACAAGUUUUCCCGAAAACCCUAUUUCAAGCCCAAAAUCACUAGUUUAAGAUAUGCAAUAAUCCGUAAUGCCAAUUUAAUGAUCAUUUGCUCACUUAUAUCUCAA